rnacentral:rRNA from 1 species
UACGUAGGGGGCAAGCGUUGUCCGGAUUUAUUGGGCGUAAAGAGCGUGUAGGCGGUUAGGUAGGUCCGUUGUGAAAACUCGAGGCUCAACCUCGAGACGCCGAUGGAAACCAUCUGACUAGAGUCCGGAAGAGGAGAGUGGAAUUCCUGGUGUAGCGGUGAAAUGCGCAGAUAUCAGGAAGAACACCCGUGGUUAAGGCGGCUCUCUAGUACGGUACUGACGCUGAGACGCGAAAGCGUGGGGAGCGAACAGG